rnacentral:lncRNA from 1 species
UGGGCCGAGGCUUGAACGUGUGUAGCUGGAGCUCUCCCUUGAAGAAUAAACGAUCGACCUCCUCACAUGCUAAAGAUCAAAGCCCAUCCUUGACUUGUUGGACGUGUAGAGCUUACUACUCAAGCUUGACUCGUGAAGCCUGGAUUGGAUGUGGGCCACUUCUCCAAAUGCUGGAUGAAUGAAGAUGCUGCAAUAAUCUGCUAGACAAU